rnacentral:sRNA from 1 species
AAAGACUGUAUCUAUAAAUGUGCUUAAAAGUGAACAU